GGCACUGUAGCUCAGUGGCAGAGCACACACCUGGCUCAAGGAAGGCCCUGGGUUCGAUCCCAGCUCCGCCA
rnacentral:tRNA from 1 species